rnacentral:rRNA from 1 species
AUUGAACGCUGGCGGCAUUCUUAACACAUGCAAGUCGAACGGCAGCAUGAGUAGGGGUAACCUUACUUGAUGGCGAGUGGCGGACGGGUGAGUAAUAUGUAGGAAUCUACCUAGAGGAGGGGGAUAACUUGGGGAAACUCAAGCUAAUACCACAUAAGCCCUACGGGGGAAAGCAGGGGAUCGAAAGACCUUGUGCCGUAUGAUGAGCCUACAUCGGAUUAACUAGUUGGUGGGGUAAAGGCCUACCAAGGCGACGAUCCGUAGCUGGUAUGGGAGGAGGAUCAGCAACACUGGGACGGAGGGACGGCCCAGACUCCUACGCGAGGCAGCAGUGGGGAAUAUUGGGCAAUGGGCGAAAGCCUGAUCGAGCAAUGCCGCGUGUGUGAAGAAGGCCUUAGGGUUGUAAAGCACUUUCAGUGGGGAGGAAGGGUGGAAUGCUAAUACCAUUGCACAUUGACGUUACCUACAGAAGAAGCACCGGCUAACUCUGUGCCAGCCGCCGCAGUAA